UACUGGAAGAAUGUUCCCUCGGUUGUUAGUGCCACCACGUGCCAGCCGCAGACACGACAGACACGCCUGCAAAGUGCAUUACCAACGUUUCCCGCUUCAGAUGUGGAAACUGAGGCUGGCUGCCAAGAGACGGAGGCAACACCAAUGUCCAGGCUUUUUCUGCAGAGUCUCGGCACCACCCUGGAAACAGCUCGCAGGGCUUGCUCCACGCACCCCGGAAGCUCUUGGAUUUUAGUGCAUACGAUUUUGGAACUGUAUUUACCAUUCCCCUAAUUAAAACUGACAUCCCCUAAAGAGACGGCCAGCAACUUGA